GGGUCAGUAGGUUGGUCGUGCCACCGGUACGUACUGGUCUCACUGAUUCCUCCUCCCUGAAGAACCGUAAUGCCAUUAAUUUGGUGUUGCGGGGAAACAGGACGGUUACUUUGAAAAAAUUAGAGUGUUUAAAGCAAGCUAACGCUUGAAUACAUUAGCAUGGAAUAAUGAAAUAGGACGAUCGAUCCUAUUUUGUUGGUUUCUAGGAUUGACGUA
rnacentral:rRNA from 1 species